UUAUACUACUGUUAGAUAACGCUAAGACAAAUGCUUUGGAUCCCCAUGAAGUAGUGAUCGUGAUAUUGGAUCAGAAUGAUGGCUAUCACAUAGCACAUGCCGAAAUGUUGAAAAAGGAUAUUCUUGAGCAAGCAAAUUCUCUUGACAAGGUUCCUCCAACAGUGAUUUUGUCGCAUAAUUUGAACAUUAAUGGCUCCUGGACAAUAAUACCGCUUCUAGAUCAUUUAUUAGACAC